GUUUCAGUGGGACACAGGGGAAGAACAAGACCUCAGGAGCUAAACAGGAGGCGAAGAGGCCUGCUGUUAACAGUGGGCUUUCCCUGUGAUCGGCCACCAUCGGCGCGCACGCUCCUGCAGGAUCCCAACGGAGAGCACGCGUCGACACCUCCACCCUUCAGCUGGAAACCUUUCGGUGGUCUCCCCAGACAGCCAUCAUCCGGGAGUAGCAGCAGGCGGAAGGGGCUCUUCGGGGAGAAACAUACCUGUGCAGCCAGAUCAGUCUAUGAUGUUUCAGCACACCCCACUUAAGGCUUGUGCUGUGACAGCAGAUCCUGCUCAGUCUGAGACUGGCUCUGAGGCUUCCUGUAUGCGGCAGGUCCUGAGUUCUGGGGAGAAGCCCAGACGAACCUGAGAGAGAUGCCAAGAACCUAAGAGGGGCAUUGAUGCUUGACCCGUCCAUCGCCUUCCUAGGACCUGCCUUAGGCCUCUCGCAUCUUCCAGGAGAAGCCUCGUAGCAUCUGGUACCCCCCUUCACCUCCUUACAGAGGAUGCUGCAGGCUUAGGAGCCCCAGCUCUGGAAGCUUUAGAUCCUGACAACUGCAGAUCCUUCUGCCUUCCUCGUGGAUGUGUCUGUUGAACACUCAAAACUCCAUAGACUUUUUCCACAUCUGGCCAGAAACACUUCCCUCUUUUUUGUACACUUACAGAGGAGAACAUACUUCCACUCCAGGGGACCUCAGGCCAGCACCUGUGGGAACCAGAGACAGUCCUGAGUUUGAAUCUAGUCCCAUGCUGUGUGACCUUGGGAGAUUACUUAGUUUCUCUGAGCUCCGGGUCCCUUGUUCGCAUGAGGGGAAUAAUAAUGCCAAACUCAGAAGAUUAUUGCAAGGACUAAAUGAGUCCGUGUUUGCCAGGUGCUUAGCAGUGUCUGACACAUAAUGCCUGUGCAAACAAUGCCAGCUAUCAUUAUUAGCGAAGUUUCUCUAAAUGCGCCUUAAGUGGACCGCACUCAAAGCUGUGGGCAGCUAUCUGCCCUGUUAACUGUAGGCCCUGAGGCUAUAAUUGUGAGUGAAACCGACAUACCCCUGCCUGCAAGGAGCUUAGUGUUCAGUAGAUGAGACUGGCAUUGAAACAGACAAUUAAAAUACUGCAUGAGGUCUUCCCUGGUGGCGCGGUGGUUAAGAAUCCACCUGCCAAUGCAGGGGACACGGGUUUGAUCCCUGGUGCAGGAAGAUCCCACCAAAAAAAAAAAUACAGCAUGAGAAGUAAUAUGGGUGGAGGUGGCAGGUGGUUCUCACUGAUCAUAGGAUGAGAAUAUAGGAGGAGCCUCUAAUCCAGUCUAAGAUCUGGUACCAGCCCUCCCCAGGCUGAGCCGAGCCUCUAGAAGCUGACCAGGACAGGAAAAGCUAAGGGGUAAAGGCAGUGUUGGAAGCCUUCUGUUUAUAGAUGAGCAAUCAUUUGUAAACUCUCCAAACCCCUUCAACUCUGGGCAACCCCAGCAAGGAAAAGCCUUCCACUCCCAGGAUGUCACUUUGUCCUUUAAAAAUUGUACGUGAUCAACCUGAUUUCUCUCGGCAAUUGUUUAUAAUACUUGUCCAAUGUCUUUCUUCCUUGCUGGAAUGGGCGCUGCCUACAGGCAGAGCUCAGGGCCGUCAGUUACUUCCAUAGCACUCAGCACAGGGUCUGGAACUUUUUCAGCUCAGUGAUGUUAUUGAUUGAGAUGGAGCAGACAUUGAGACUUGCCACACUCUGCCUUUCAGAAAUGCCCAAGAGCUCUGUGUAUUCCCCCCACCCCUUCCCACAAGCUGGUGGCUGGCUCACAGCAGGGAGGAUCUAGACCCUUCCGGCUACCAGGGUUGGGGCUUGAGCUGGGAGUUGUAUUCAUCUCGGCAGAGCAGCAACCUGCACCCCCUCCCAAAGCUAGUUUCGGCCCCUUUGCUCUGGCAGUGGGCUCCUCACUGCUCAAGGCUGCCUGUACUUCGUAUCGGAUAAUCAAUGCUACCCUUAUCUUUGGAGGAAAUGCUGCCCAGUGAUAUCACACACUGAAUCGAUUAAAAGCAGAACUUUGAACUCAUCUGUUUGGCGAGGUCUCUGUAGAGUGAAUCAUUCAGUCCUCCUUUAAUGCGGUGCUGAUGCCUGCCGGAAACCUCACCUGCAGCUCAGGAGCAGCUCCCUUGCGGAGCCGGGAUAUCCCACAUUUUCACAGGUUGGCUGGGGUAGGAGCCAUAUGAUGUAUUUGUUUACAGUGAGGUCACCUUCUUCAACCUACCCCCCACCCCCAGCUUUUGUUUUUAGCUCACUUCAAACAGAAAAA